GGCAAGGAUAAGCCUGACAUGGGAGUGACCUGGAUAGACUCCUGUCCUUGCACAGUCUCUGUGAGUCACUGUCUGUGAGGUGAAAGCACUAAAACUCAAACUGCUGCAGCCAUUGUGAAAUAGCUUCCCUUGGAACUCAGUAAAAGGAAGUGUGUGUGGGCAUAUGGAUGUGGGAGCUGGUUAUUGCAGGACAAGCAGGGACACCCUCCUCACAAAGGAGGUGACUGUCCCCACUCUGUUCUGCGUGGGGGCAGCCUCACCUCGCAUCCUGGGGGCAGUUUUGGGCACAGCAAUGUAAGAAAGGUCUGAAGCCAUUAGAGAGCUUCCAAAGGAGGGACAUGAAGAUGGGGAGCAGUCUGGAGGAGCCACAUGAGUAGCAACUGAGGACAAUUAGAAUGUUCAGCUGGGGCAGAGGUUCCUUCCAGCUCAGGAUAUUCCACAAUUCUCCAUAACCUCACACAGAGGUCUGGGUUGGCUCUGUCCUCAGCAAACCCUGCAGGAGCUCACUCAGGUGUAUCCCUGUCCUGCGAGCACCUUGUCAGGGUUGUUCAAUCAGUGCCUGUGUGAGUAGCACGGGACUUCUGCAGUCAGCAGGGAAAACUACCUCUGGAAAACAGAUCAAGCUGCCAUUCAUCUCAACGGGCUCCUUUCAACUUCCCACUCUGGGAUGAACUCUCAGGUACCUGUUAAGUCUUUCAUCAGCAGGUGUUUGUGAAAAUGGCUCAGGUGGGGGUAAUUUAGAUCUCUCCUGGUUAAAUCCCAGCUCUCUUUAGGAAACCUAUUGUAGGAAAUCUGGUAUAAUAUAUUUUUCCCCCUUAAAAAUCACAUUUGCCUUUUGAGGAGAAACCAGCAGGGGCAGGGCUUGUGCUGCAGAGAUGUGAAAGAUGGGAUAAAAGAAAGAAUGGAAGAACAUUAUCUUUUUUUUCCUCCCUGACAGAAUUCCUGACACAACUGAUCCCUGAGGAUUUGGGAUAGAAAGAACAGAGGAUAAGAGCAAUCAGGCUCACUUCUCAUUGUCGUAGUAGAGCUUCCCAAUGGCCCAGGCAACGAUGAUGGGAAAGGGGAUACCUGCAGGGGAACACACAGGGUCCUCACACCCCCUGACUGCUCAGGACUGGGCUCAGCCUGGAAGAGCUGCACCUACCACGUUGCUCUCGUGCACCUCUGGGUUCAUGGUGAGCUGCACCACGAACCACGUGGCGUUGCGUAGGAUGAAGGCUGUGAUCAGGUUCCAGUGGAUGAUGUUUCUCAGGCACCGGAUGCUCCUGGAGAGAGGUGGAACAAGGCACCAUCAGAGCAGGGGGACUGGGGACAGUGCUGUUUGUGGAGCUGAGUGUCUCUGUUGGGACCUCAAGGGUGACUUGCUGGGACCAUGCCCUGGGUGAGGUGGGCAGGAAGAAGACCAGGAGGUAGAAGGCACCAAGGAGGGCCCUCUGCCUCUGUAACUAGAUGCUUUUAAAAAGCAGCAAAAAAACCCCAACCCUGAGAUAGGCAGGAUCCCUCCACCUGGAGGGCAAUGGCAGAGUAGAUGGCAAAGCACAGGAGCUGGGUCCAUCCCUGCCUGAGAUGGCCUUGCAGGAAAAGGGCAGCAGGUUUGUCACUCACCGCAGGC